rnacentral:lncRNA from 1 species
AUGUGGCUCGGGCCCAAUGGCUGUUAUAUCCCUAAAGACCAAGCUGUCAGAGGAACCUGUGACAGACUCAUCUGUAAAAUAACAGUGACGAUGAGGAGAAAAAGGCCAGCACCUCCAAAUAAAGCACACACAGCACACACACACACACACACACACACACGCACGCACGUACGUGCACAUGCACGCGCGCACACACGCGCGCACACACACGCAAAGCUACCUACGUCCUCGUUUCUCCUUUUAACUUUUACAAUGAUUUCUUUCUUUGUUUUAGGGCUCCCUGCGGUGGAGCCGACUGGCGAGGUUGGGAGCACCUCUGCUGUACAACCAAGUGGUUCAGUUAUACGUACAUCCCUUCUCUUUGGGGACGGCAGCCCAUGCCGCACACUGAGCAACAGGCUCCGCUGUAGGAGGUCUGGUUCUUUUAGUCAUUCCGUUGUCGUCAGAGAGACGGGACCCUGCCAGGGGUGCAUGGCCACUCACGGCGUGGGACUGACCCCGUCCGCUGCCUCUCGGCGGCAUCAGACUCUGGGUGGUCUCACCUGGUUGGGGGUGGCCCAGCUGGACAGGGGGCUUGAAGAGGAGGAAGCAGGACCCACAGGAGAGAUGGGCCAGGGGCGCGUCCCUCUCUGCAGGCUGAGCCACUCCGUCCACAACAUGCGAGGGCGCCUGGGUCCCAGUCACCCCGUCACACCUGCCGGGAGCGGCAAGCUUCCCCGCAAGUUGCUCGGACCAGACCCACAGUCUUGGCUGUUAGCAAGCACGCACAUUCCUGUCAAGGGAAACAAGAUUUACUUCUCGCUGAAAUAUCUGCGGGAGAACAAAGUGCACAUCAUUAUUCCAGGCUUCACCCCCUCCCUCUGCUUUGCUUCACACACACACACACACACACCACAUACAAAUGAGUCAUACGUCAGGCUUUCUGAAAGUCAAAGACGAGAAAAUAAACAGAUGCCUCAGAGGAGAGGGAAGACUGGUGUUGUUUUAAUCAAAACCGUGAAGACAAAGAAAGGAACGGAAAACUCAGAGAUUUAA